AGUGAACGCUGGCGGCAGGCCUAAUACAUGCAAGUCGAACGGCAGCACAGUGGAGCUUGCUCCAUGGGUGGCGAGUGGCGGACGGGUGAGGAAUACAUGGGAAUCUGCUCAGUCGCGGGGGAUAACGUAGGGAAACUUACGCUAAUACCGCAUGCGCCCUUCGGGGGAAAGCCGGGGACCUUCGGGCCUGGCGCGUGUGGAUGAGCCCAUGUUCGAUUAGCUAGUUGGUGGGGUAAAGGCCCACCAAGGCGACGAUCGAUAGCUGGUCUGAGAGGAUGAUCGGCCACACUGGGACUGAGACACGGCCCAGACUCCUACGGGAGGCAGCAGUAGGGAAUAUUGGACAAUGGGCGCAAGCCUGAUCCAGCCAUGCCGCGUGAGUGAAGAAGGCCCUCGGGUUGUAAAGCUCUUUUAUCCGGGAAGAAAAGCAUCGGGCUAAUACCUCGGUGUUCUGACGGUACCGGAAGAGUAAGCACCGGCUAACUUCGUG
rnacentral:rRNA from 1 species